UACAGAGGGUGCAAGCGUUUAUCCGGAUUCACUGGGUUUAAAGGGUGCGUAGGAGGGCAGGUAAGUCAGCGGUGAAAUCCCCGAGCUUAACUUGGGAACUGCCAUUGAUACUAUCUGUCUUGAAUAUUGUGGAGGUGAGCGGAAUAUGUCAUGUAGCGGUGAAAUGCUUAGAUAUGACAUAGAACACCAAAUUGCGAAGGCAGCUCGCUACACAAAUAUUGACUCUGAGGCACGAAAGCGUGGGGAUCAAACAGG
rnacentral:rRNA from 1 species